UUCUUUACCAAAUCAAUCUCUUGCUUUUUAACAUUUUAUUUACUUUUCCUUGAAGACUAAUUAAGAAUUCAGGCAGGUGAUGAAUGGUUUUCAAUACCAGAAGCACAGGAAGGGGAAAGAGUUCCAGGAACGUCUGCUUCUUGAGAUCCCCACAUCUGUGAACUGGAGAGAGAAAGGCUACAUGAGUCCUGUGAAGGAUCAGGUUAAAACCUGUAGGUACAAUCCCAAGUAUUCUGUUGCUAAUGACACUGGCUUUGUGGACAUACCUUCAUGGGAGAAGGACCUGGCGAAGGCAGUGGCAACUGUGGGGCCCAUCUCUGUUGCUGUUGAUGCAAGCCAUGUCUCCUUCCAGUUCUAUAAAAAAAGCUGGGGUAAAAACUGGGGCAUGGAUGGCUACAUAAAGAUGGCCAAAGACCGGAGGAACAACUGUGGAAUCACCACAGCAGCCAGCUACCCAACUGUGUGAGCUGAUGGAUGGUGAUGAGGAAGGACUCGACUGAGGAUGGCACAUCCAGAGGAGGAACUGAUCUUCAAUCUACCAGCCCCUGCUGUGUGAAAUGCACACUUCA